UUGCUUUUAGUGGAUGGCAGUGAUUGCAGGGUACUCUGAGAUCCUGGUCCCCUCUCUGUCCACAAGAAAUAUAUGUUGGAGCACAGCAUGCAUGUGGCAAUCUCCAACACAUUUUUUUGUUUCCUUCUCCACACAAAUCAGGGAACAGAGUGUCUGCUGAACUUAAGCCUUGUUCUAACAGGGAACCUAAAAAUGGCUGAGACUUGUGCCUGUACCCUGUAAGUCCCACGCUAUUGUAGCUUUGAUGAGGAAGGACAUCGUGUUAAGUACACAGUGUUGAAGCCUCAGGAAGCAAACAAAUCAAAGAGAGAGAGAAACAGAAAUGUUGGAGCUGAGAGAGCAUGAUUUACCACAUACUCCCGGGUGUCACCUCUAAGGACUGGACUUUUCCCUUCCCAUUUGACAGGUUAAAAAGGAAAAGGACUGUGAGUUCUUUCAAAGUUCUAUGGUGUGCAACUGUCUGGGGCUACCAGCUCUCAGGACCAAGUCCUCAAGAUUAUGAAGUGUUCAGCUGGGCUCAUGUUAAGAUUUCAUCUUCCAGUUGUGCUGGCAGUUUCAUGACAUGACAGCCCUCAGGAAACAAGCCUGCAGCAGAAGUUACUACAUGAACUCCUGGGUGAAUAGACAUGACAUUUGAAAUCCUUCCAUCUAGAACAUGUUUGGACAGACUAAAUGUCCCCCAGCAGAAAUCCCACAGCUGCUUUGAAACAAUGAUUAUCACAGUGAACAUUGUCACUGCAGCAGCUGGGAGCAGCUCAAAGAACUGCUGCAUUUGGGGGGGCUGGGGAGAGCCUGGCAACAAGCACAAGGUGCUUUACCAGGCGACUCUGUCUGGCUCACUGGAAAAAUGAUCAGGCUAGUAGGAGAUAGAACACUCUAAUCUAACACCUGAUUUUUUAAUUUAUUUUUUUUUGCCUCUGCAUUUUAAUAUACGAAAAAAACUUAUUUUCUUUGUUUUUUUCCCCUUGACUGACCUUUCUUGGUUUAUUUUCUGUCCUGUCUGCUGGGAUAUGGCACAGGGAACUUAAUUUGUUGACAUUGUUGAAACUUCCCCGAGAAAGCAAGUUAAUGUUUCAAAUAUUCAUAAGGAGAGAGGCACCAGGAGCGUCUGCUGAGCCUCUGUUUUCCACUAGAUACCAGUAGCUGUCCUAUCAGUUAACAAUCUCUGAUUAUGAAGCAUGUACUAUAAUUAGUGGAAGAAAUUUCAUUGCAUUUUGAGAAUGUGAAAAGCUGUUUUAUUAUUUAGGGGCCACAAUGGUAAAGUGGGGUUGAUGGUCCUUUUAGGAAGGUCAGAAAGACUAGGCAUGUCUGUAUGUAGAAAAAGGAAAAAGAAUCUUACGUUCAUUGUUCAUGUUGGCAGAGUUACAAAUAGCUUUCCCAUAUCAUCUUUCAGACUAGCAUCUGCUACUAGGUUGAAAUUAAAUUGGAGUGAGGUUGCUUAGAUGUGUUGGGAAAUGAGCCUGGCAAAAUAAAUCAGAAGAGUUCUAUGGGUAUUUGCUAAUGGGAGGUGACUGAUGAGUCUUUGUUGCUGUCUGCAUGCUUGAUUAUUACCUUUACAUGUCUGAAACAAGUUUCUUUCGAGGUCUGACCAGAAAUGGUAUCUAUCUCAUGAAUGUAAAUGUCUUGCAGGUAUUAGAAAAGUAGUGGGAGAAGUUGUAGUAAUGUAUAAUUAGUAGCAUUCAGACAUCUUCAACAACUGGAUGGAUAAUCUUUGUCAGGAAAAGAUAUUAAUGACGCAUUAAAGAAUCACUUUUCCAUGUUGUCCUAUAGCGCAAUUAUAUUUAAAAAGUAAUUAAAAAUAUAUUUUUAAGGCAUUGCCACUUUCAAACUCUUCACUUCAACCAGUUCUGUUCUGUUUUAUAAGCUUUGCAUAAUUCUCAUGUGCAUACCUUGUAAUAAGAAUGCCUGUGACCAGUUGCCAGAUCAAGGGUUGUUAAAAGAAAAACACAAUAGGUAAUGCUGGAAUAAGCCUUUUUCUUGGAAGGAAAAGGAGAGAUGUUUUCUUUUUGUUCGUUCAUUUCCCUGUUCAAUGGUGAUCUUCUCCUUUUCGCUUCCCAUUAUUUAAAAAUAUUUCCCAAAACCUCGUGAUUGGCUAGAGUAUCUGUUUUACAGUAGAAUAGUUUUAUUUGGUUUUUUGUUUUAAUUUUUUUAUUUUACUCCUUUUCCAUAUGUAUGUCUGCCUGCCUUCCACCUGCCUCUUUUUCCUCCCACCAUUCUGUAACAUAGACAUGUGGGCUAAUAACUUUUCUAAAUGUAGCCAUCUGAUGUAAAGAAAGCUGGUUCUAUCACUGUAACUAUUUUCAAAAGUUUAGAAGCUAUUGGAAAAAAUAAAAGAAAAAAGGAAAAUAUUAAACCAUCAGUAAAAAAAAAAUUAAUAAAUUAUAUGAAGGAACUAAAAUGGAUAUUACCCAUGUUCUAUCAUUCCAAGGCAGUAAUAAAAAUGUGAGACUAGUAAGAAAAAAAUAAGUAAACAAACCAUGGUAUGUUGUAAUUACAGUAAUCUCUCAUGUCUGUGAAAAUAUUAACAACCAAAAUUGUAGCAGAAAUUACAUAAUAUAUUGGGCAGAAGGGGAGCUCUACACUCAUUUUCUUUAUCUGUUUAACCACAGCAAAGGACAAAUAAAAAAGAAUAGAAUUUCAUUAUACUUUUCAGUUUUCAAAAGGAAUAGAAAACAUAGACUAUAUGAUGCACUCUCAGCACCUCUGUUGCAGCACUCCAACAGCUGUCCAAAGAAAAAUAAUAGAAGUGAACAUUGUUAGUAGCAGUUUUGAAUUGUUAUUUGAUGUGACAUUGAACCUAAUAUCAAAUUAAAGUAGAAGAAGUUAGAUAGGAUACAUCCGGGGAGCAACUUCUUUUUCUUACUUCCCAAUCAUCUGAAAUUCUUUCUCAACAAUACUCUCAAAUAAUUCAUUCAAUACCUACCUGUGUAUGUGAGAAAAGAAAAAAAAAAAAAGUAAGAGAAGCUGGAAAAGAGCAUAAAAGGGCAUCAUCAAGGCCUUUAGUGGAAUAAGGCUGGCUCUUUCAAGGUGAGUGACAAUACUUCAGCUGGUGGUCAUAAAUGUGGUAUACCUAGAGAAUCAACCAUCUGCAAAAGCUUGAAAUAAUAUGAGUUCAUCCCCUCAAUGUUUUUUGUCUUUGUAGUUUUUAGCAAGCCUCUGCAGAAGCUAAAUUUAUGGUUGUAGCUGACCCCAGUGCCCCAGCUCCUCACACUAGAGAUUUUUUCCUUUUUUUCUUAGUCUUGACUGUCUGGCUCUUCCUCUGUCAGUUAGCAGACUGCAGUGUGGUCUGUCUCUGUCAAUUUCUGUGGUCUGUCUCUGCCUUCCUAUUGGUACUUGAGACCUAAGUCACCAAAGCAAAGCACAAGUGAGUUCUGGCUAGAAUGGUGAAAUAGACAAGCAAAGAAAAGCUCUCUAUCAUAUCUUACCUUCACACUCCAUGUUAACCAAUUCAGCCCAGUACAAUAAGAAACUAGUAAUUAAAAAAAAAAAAAAAAAAAAAAAAGGCAGCAAGUUAAAAUUGUGUGCCUUGAAUUAUUUGCAGGAGAUGAACAAUCUUCCUUCUGCUAUUUCGCAACUGAGCUUCAGUCAGUGAGAAAUGUGUAACUAGUAAAGAUGUGGGAUCCUCUGAUGGAUGGGUCUCUUUACUUAUAAAGAAUGUUUAGUGAUCAGAGAGGCUAUCUGAUCAGAAAUUUCAGAUUUUCAGAGUUCUCAAAUAUUUA